AAAUGGGAGUGGUUCCACUAUGACAUCUGCCAAACCAUUGAUCACUAAGGUUGAUUUGGUUGAUCUUACUUGUUAAAGUGUUCCUUUCCUUCCUUUCUACUUCAUAUUAGUACCUUCUGAAGUUGCACCCUUGAUGAAAGAUAGUGACCUUCUCUGAGAGAUGAUAGACGAGUGCCUGCACCCUUUUACAAGAACAAACUCUCAAUGUUCUUAAAGGAAAUUGUAUAUAAAGCUGUUGGUGGUAGAGGAGAGACGUCUAUACUGUGGAAU
rnacentral:sRNA from 1 species